UACGGAGACCUCAAGCGUUACUCGGAUUUACUGGGCGUAAAGGGUCCGUAGGUGGCCGGAUGUGUUGGGUGUGAAAUCCUGCAGCUUAACUGUAGAACUGCGCUCAAAACUAUCUGGCUAGAGACUCGGAGGGGUAAGCGGAAUUCCAGGUGUAGCGGUGAAAUGCGUAGAUAUCUGGAGGAACACCAACGGCGAAGGCAGCUUACUGGACGAGAUCUGACACUGAGGGACGAAAGUGUGGGGAGCAAAAGGG
rnacentral:misc_RNA from 1 species